rnacentral:rRNA from 1 species
UUAAAUUGAAGAGUUUGAUCAUGGCUCAGAUUGAACGCUGGCGGCAGGCCUAACACAUGCAAGUCGAACGGUAACAGGAAGCAGCUUGCUGCUUUGCUGACGAGUGGCGGACGGGUGAGUAAUGUCUGGGAAACUGCCUGAUGGAGGGGGAUAACUACUGGAAACGGUGGCUAAUACCGCAUAACGUCGCAAGACCAAAGAGGGGGACCUUCGG